CCUACGGGAGGCAGCAGUGGGGAAUAUUGCACAAUGGGGGAAACCCUGAUGCAGCAACGCCGCGUGCGGGACGAAGGCCUUCGGGUCGUAAACCGCUUUUCUGGGGAAAGAGCAAGGACGGUACCUCAGGAAUAAGUCUCGGCUAACUACGUGCCAGCAGCCGCGGUAAAACGUAGGAGGCGAGCGUUAUCCGGAUUUACUGGGCGUAAAGCGCACGCAGGCGGCUCCGUGAGUCGGACGUGAAAGCUCUCGGCUUAACCGGGAGAGGCCGUUCGAUACUGCGGGGCUUGAGGUAGGGAGAGGAAUGCGGAAUUCCCGGUGUAGUGGUGGAAUGCGUAGAUAUCGGGAGGAACACCUGUGGCGAAAGCGGCAUUCUGGCCCUCACCUGACGCUGAGGUGCGAAAGCGUGGGUAGCAAACAGGCUUAGAUACCCGAGUAGUC
rnacentral:rRNA from 1 species